rnacentral:rRNA from 1 species
ACGGGAGGCAGCAGUGAGGAAUAUUGGUCAAUGGGCGCGAGCCUGAACCAGCCAAGUAGCGUGCAGGAUGACGGCCCUCCGGGUUGUAAACUGCUUUUAGUUGGGAAUAAAAGAGCGUACGUGUACGCUGUAUUGUAUGUACCAUCAGAAAAAGGACCGGCUAAUUCCGUGCCAGCAGCCGCGGUAAUACGGAAGGUCCGGGCGUUAUCCGGAUUUAUUGGGUUUAAAGGGUGCGCAGGCGGGCUGCUAAGUCUCCGGUGAAAUGUCAGGGCUCAACCUUGGCACUGCCGGAGAUACUGGCGGCCUUGAGAGUGGCGGAGGUAUCCGGAAUGUGUGGUGUAGCGGUGAAAUGCAUAGAUAUCACACAGAACACCGAUUGCGAAGGCAGGAUACCAUACCAUAUCUGACGCUCAGGCACGAAAGCGUGGGGAUCGAACAGGAUUAGAUACCCUGGUA